GAACUGCGAUAAGUGAUGUGAAUUGCAGAACUUCGUGAAUCAUCUAAUUCUUGAACGCACAUUGCACUCCUUGGACCUCCUUGGAGUACGCUUGUUUGAGUGUCGGCUCUUUUCUCAUCGACUAUAUUCAUAUAGUUGCAUGGACUUUGUGGGUGUCAUCGUGAGUUGACUCUCAUGAAAAUCAACGAGUGGAAUCAAUCUUGCACUCAACAUCGAUAUCAGUGAACCCUUCAUUGGGUAUCUCACACGGAUACCGAUGGCUUGUAUUGACCACCCUUGAAAGUGAAUUUUCAAUUCAUUACCCCGACCUCAAAUCAAGUGGGAUUACCCGCCGAAUUUAA
rnacentral:misc_RNA from 1 species